rnacentral:rRNA from 1 species
CACGUAGGGACCAAGCGUUGUCCGGAUUCAUUGGGCGUAAAGAGCUCGUAGGCGGUUCGAUAAGUCGGGUGUGAAACCUCCAGGCUCAACCUGGAGACGCCACCCGAUACUGUCGUGACUAGAGUCCAGUAGGGGAGCGUGGAAUUCCUGGUGUAGCGGUGAAAUGCGCAGAUAUCAGGAGGGACACCAGCGGCGAAGGCGGCGCUCUGGGCUGGAACUGACGCUGAGGAGCGAAAGCGUGGGGAGCGAACAGG